rnacentral:rRNA from 1 species
CAGCAGUGAGGAAGGUGGUGCAGUUAAUAGCUGUAUCAUUUGACGUUAGCUGCAGAAGAAGCACCGGCUAACUCCGUGCCAGCAGCCGCGGUAAUACGGAGGGUGCGAGCGUUAAUCGGAAUUACUGGGCGUAAAAGCGCAUGCAGGUGGUUGUUAAGUCAGAUGUGAAAAGCCCGGGCUCAAACCUCGGAAAUUGCAUUUGAAAACUGGCAGACUAGAGUACUGUAGGAGGGGGUAGAAUUUCAGGUGUAGCGGUGAAAAUGCGUAGAGAUCUGAAGGAAUACCGGUGGCGAAGGCGGCCCCUGGACAGAUACUGACACUCAGUAUGCGAAAGCGUGGGGAGCAAACAGGAUUAGAUACCCUGGUAG